ACCUUAUCCACCCCGUCCUCUAUCCCGGGAUCUCCUCUCCGGCGAUCCGCCGCACAGCUGCUUGCCGUCAACGUCCACGCCGCAGGAACAAAGGAAUGGAAGGCGUCGUUGUGCCUCUUGCCGUCAGCGUCCUGCCGCAGCAGCCAAGCAAAUGGUGAGGUGGCGCGGACGGCCUCCUCCAUCCCAGGCGGCCCUCUCCGGCGAGCUAAGCCCAAGAAUGGGGCGAAGAAGGCGGCCACGAGCACGCUACUCCGCAGCCAGUCCUCUCCCACCUCCACCGAUGUAACCUUCUCAACCUCUCCAUCAUCUCCCGUUUCUGAUUUGAAUAGAUAAUAAAGCAGCGGCGCCACCGUAGUCGUCGCCUACAACGAUUUUCGUCCGUGCACCCCCACCUGAUCGAGGAGGAGGCUGUUCCACGCGAGAUCCCGCGAGGAAGGGUGGGAUACUGCAGCGAAAAAACACUCCCCCGACCAGGCCGACCAGGGCGAGGAAGGGUUGUCCCACAAGAUCCGACGAGGAAGCGCUGGUCGACCGCCUCCGCCAGGGAAGUUGUACCUUCCACGACAAAGAAGAGGUCGGCCAUGGCGUGGUCCAUCCUCCCCUGCCCCAACAAGGAGGUGGCUAUUUCUGCUUUAAACGGAUGGGUGAUGCUUGGUGUAUUUUUUUGCGGCAAUCUGAACAAACAUGGAGGGAGUAGCAGGCUCCAGUUCAUUGUGACUCCAUUAACAGAGUUCAACCACUCUGGAAAAGGUCAUGCUAUGUAAUACACAAGGAGGACAUGGAACAAAUCAGAAAGAUCCCGAUCCAAUCGUGAGCAGGACAACGACGGCGAGCACAAGAAGGGCAUGGGCCAUGAGAGGAGGAGCAGGAGGGGACUCGCGAUGGGUCACGAGGUCGUCGCCGCUUGCCACCGCACGACGCUCGACCAAACCAGCUACUGCAGCCCCAUUGCGGAGUCGCCGUGGAACACUUGGACACGAUCCAACCUCUACAAUGGCCGCUCCUACAAGUUCUCAGUUCCAAAGCUAUUUCCACUUGCACUGUUCUUGGUCGGCCCUAAGCUGUUUACGAUUUUCUCUGCAAGGAGCUAACUUGCGGUGGUCUGGUGUGGUUUUUCAGACUUACUGAACAGCAAGACCGUGAUGGGUCCAUCCAUCAGCGGGAGAGGACAAGGAUGGUGUCUAUCCACGAGCAAGACCAAGCAAGACACCCCUACCAAGCUACAGCUCAAGCCUCCAAUGCGCAAGUAGUUCGACAAGAUGGCCAAGCCUGUCAAGAACUAGGUACUAACGCCACAAAAAUUCUACUUGAAAAGUUGGAAUGCACAUGUUAUGCUUGGUUUCUAUGCUGCAACUCAUUUGUUUGUGCACCUGCUCUUAUAGACAUUAAACUUUUUUAUGGAUUGUGCUGUUAACAUUUAAGAAGUUUUUUUGUCAUUGGAGAUUUUGUUUU